AUUGAACGCUGGUGGCAUGCCUUACACAUGCAAGUCGAACGGCAGCGGGCCUUCGGGUGCCGGCGAGUGGCGAACGGGUGAGUAAUGCAUCGGAACGUGCCAUUGAGUGGGGGAUAACGUAGCGAAAGUUGCGCUAAUACCGCAUAUUCUGUGAGCAGGAAAGCAGGGGGACCGCAAGGCCUUGCGCUCUUUGAGCGGCCGAUGUCAGAUUAGCUAGUUGGUGAGGUAAAGGCUUACCAAGGCGACGAUCUGUAGCGGGUCUGAGAGGAUGAUCCGCCACACUGGAACUGAGACACGGUCCAGACUCCUACGGGAGGCAGCAGUGGGGAAUUUUGGACAAUGGGGGCAACCCUGAUCCAGCCAUGCCGCGUGAGUGAAGAAGGCCU
rnacentral:rRNA from 1 species